GAUGAACGCUGGCGGCGUGCCUAAUACAUGCAAGUCGAGCGAACGGACGAUAAGCUUGCUCCUCUGCUGUUAGCGGCGGACGGGUGAGUAACACGUGGAUAACCUACCUCUAAUACUUGGAUAACUUCGGGAAACCGUAUCUAAUACCGGAUCAUAUUUUGUACCGCAUGGUUCAAAAGUGAAAGACGGUCUUGCUGUCACUUAUAGAUGGAUCCGCGCUGCAUUAGCUAGUUGGUAAGGUAACGGCUUACCAAGGCAACGAUGCAUAGCCGACCUGAGAGGGUGAUCGGCCACACUGGAACUGAGACACGGUCCAGACUCCUACGGGAGGCAGCAGUAGGGAAUCUUCCGCAAUGGGCGAAAGCCUGACGGAGCAACGCCGCGUGAGUGAUGAAGGUCUUCGGAUCGUAAAACUCUGUUAUUAGGGAAGAACAUAUGUGUAAGUAACUGUGCACAUCUUGACGGUACCUAAUCAGAAAGCCACGGCUAACUACGUG
rnacentral:rRNA from 1 species